AGUAACACGUGGAUAACCUACCUAUAAGACUGGGAUAACUUCGGGAAACCGGAGCUAAUACCGGAUAAUAUUUUGAACCGCAUGAUUCAAAAGUGAAAGACGGUCUUGCUGUCACUUAUAGAUGGAUCCGCGCUGCAUUAGCUAGUUGGUAAGGUAACGGCUUACUAAGGCAACGAUGCAUAGCCGACCUGAGAGGGUGAUCGGCCACACUGGAACUGAGACACGGUCCAG
rnacentral:rRNA from 1 species